rnacentral:rRNA from 2 species
CUGGUGUCAGCCGCCGCGGUAAUACCAGCACCUCGAGUGGUCAGGACGUUUAUUGGGCCUAAAGCAUCCGUAGCCGGCUCUGCAAGUCUUCGGUUAAAUCCACCUGCUCAACAGAUGGGCUGCUAGAGAUACUACAGAGCUAGGGAGUGGGAGAGGCAGACGGUAUUCAGUGGGUAGGGGUAAAAUCCUCUGAUCCAUUGAGGACCACCAGUGGCGAAGGCGGUCUGCCAGAACACGUUCGACGGUGAGGGAUGAAAGCUGGGGGAGCAAACCGGAUUAGAUACCCGGGUAGUCCCAGCUGUAAACGAUGCAAACUCGGUGAUGCAUUGGCUUAUGGCCAAUGCAGUGCCGCAGGGAAGCCGUUAAGUUUGCCGCCUGGGAAGUACGGACGCAAGUCUGAAACUUAAAGGAAUUGGCGGGGGAGCACCACAAGGGGUGAAGCCUGCGGUUCAAUUGGAGUCAACGCCAGGAAUCUUACCCGGGGAGACAGCAGAAUGAAGGUCAAGCUGAAGACUUUACCAGACAAGCU